AAGCAAAUAUGAAAGCGCAGAAUUUAUUAUUUUUAUUUUCUGUGAUGUAGUAUUUAUUAAUUCUGAAUUCUUUGGAAUUUUUGCAGAAAAAUUUUUUAAGCCAAUUUUUAUUAAAAUGGGUAAACGAGAUACACGAUAUGCAUUUAUGAAUCCAAUUGCCAUGGCCAGAGCUCGUGGACCAAUUUCUUCUGGAGGACCUUCUAUACGAGAUUACAUGAACAGAGAUCGUCCUUCAUGGGAAGAAGUGAAAGAAAUAUUACAAAAGAAAAAAGAGGGCUCUAAAACACUUGCAGCUUGGGAGGAAAAGAUGAAUGAUAAAUUUCGAGAAGAACUCAGACGCAACAGAGAGAAAUUACUUGGAGAAAGUUCAUCGUGUGAGAAAAAGAAAUCAAAGAAAAGAAAGAAAAAGCGGUCAUCAAGUUCAUCAUCUUCAUCUAGUUCUAGAUCUAAAGAGGAUAACUCAGAGGAUGAAGCUAGAAGUUAUAAGCACAAGCAUAAGAAAUCUAAGAAAAAGAAGCAUGACAAGUAUUUAAAUGAACACAAAAAACAUAGUCAAUGAUGUUGCUGGUAGAGGGCCUUUCUUUCAUUAUGCUCACAUGACCAUCUUCAUUGGCGUCUUGGAUGGAAAUGAGUUUUGUCCGAGUCUUCUUCCUCCGAUCUUGAUUAUGGAACAUGUGCAAAAUAAGGUAGCGAACAUAAGCUUGCAAAGAUUUAUAUGAAAGAUAGUUCAUCCAAGUAUAGCAAAGGAAUCAAGAAAAAACAUAAAAGAGAAAAGUAAACUUAUUGGAUUGUUACAUUUAUUUAUUUAGGUGAUAUGUAUUAACAAUCAAUCAGUGUAACAAUGUAUAUAAAUUGUUGAAGAAAGAUCAGAUUUUUUGCCAAACAUAUUAUCUAGAUAAUCAUUCAUUUGAUAUUCUGGUUUUUCCCUUCCUAUUCAGUUUAUAAGAUGAUUGUUUUAUUGUGAAGUUUAUGGUGUUAUUGUACAAUCACUAUAUCUGUGAAAUAAUAGAUUGUUUACUAAAUAAGUAAUUUGGGAAAAAAGAAUAUCUAUCUUCAGUUUAAUAGUGGAUUAAUUUAAGAUUCUACUUUUUGACUAAUCAGAAAUUUUGAAUUAGAAAUUAUUGUAAAAUGCCAAGUGGUGCUAAAAUUUUCAUUAAAUUGCAAAUAACUAUGAAUUUUGACCAUAGAGCUGAUAUAUGAACGAAGGAAGCAAGUAGCUUUUUUCUAGUCUAAACAAGUGUAUGUGACUUGUGAGAAAUCUGGCCUUUUUUGGCGUCAUAUCGCAAAUCUUGGUAUACUCAAAAACUGACGUGCAACAUUUUGCUUCCCGACAUUGGGUCCGGUCAAUUUUCAUAUCUGGUUCACAUUUCCUAAAUAAUUUAUAUAUAUACAUAUAUUCAUUCCUUGAAAACUAAGCAAACUGGUUUCGAAAAUAAUGUUUUCUCUUUUUUAUAAGUAGCCAAGUUUGUUGAUUUAAAUUAUGUUUACUUUUUUACUUUAUUUUUGUGCAUUAAUUAAAAGUGAGUAUUUUUCUUCUUUAAGUAAACAUUUUAUUUCUUUUCUUUACCUAAAACCAUCUUUUAAUUUUACAUUACAUGUUCAAUUUACAUUACAGGUUUUAUCAUUAUCUCAUACAGAUAAAAAAAAAACUUUUUAUAAUAAAAGCAGAUUAUAAAAGUGAUCCAAAUCUUUUUUUUUUCUUGAAUAUUCUGAAUAAUAUUUAUUUUUGCAUAAAAAAUGAAAAGGAUAUUAAUUAAAACUGUUAAAUUAUUUUGAAAUAAUUUAGAAAGAAAAAAAACACUAGCUCAGAAUCAAACCCAGUUAUCCUGCAUGCUACGCCAGUGCCCUAACCACUACACUACUCGAGUGCUCGUUCGGGUAACACAUUAUUAGUAUAUAAGCUAUUUGAAAGUUUUAAGGUUGACUAUUGAGUCUUAAUAUUUUCAUUAAUAAACAUUCUAAAUGUUUAUUAUCAUUAUACAAAAUCUCAUUCCGAACUCAGUUUUAAACCUCGUGUCUUCUCCUUGUAAGUAUCAGUUUGAAAUAUUUCGCUUCUGGUUUAUAGUGUUGGUAGUAACUUUGCUUCUAACUACCGCAGGAUCAAAAUUAAAUCAUUUUUGGAAUCUUAAAUGUGUUGAUUUAAUACAAAAUAAUAAGGAAAUUCGAAAUUUAUACGAAAACGGUGAUUUUAGGGUAUGUGCAUAUCGCAAGUUAUUAAUAAAUGUUAACAAUCAGACAAAAUUUUUAUCUGUAAAGAUAGCAUUUCUUUCUUUAGUAGUUUAUCUUUAGAAUAUCCUCUAGUUUCUUUUUAGAUCUUAAUUAAAAUUUAUAAAAAUAUGCAAUUACUGCUAGCACAUUUAUGAAAUUUUACUAUAUAACAUUUUCAAUAAACACAUUCAAUAAAACGUUAUUUUAGUUUAACUAUUUCAUUCACAAUGAUGAUUUAAUAUCUUUCAUGGUAUAAUACGAUUCGAAUAUUUAUGGUAAAAAAAAAACAUAUUGGAUAUAAUAAGGAACUUUAUUUGCACUAAAAUAAAUACACAAUUAUUAACCAGUCAAUAAUGCUUAUGUAAACACUUGUAUUGGCGAGAAAAAAUCACGCCAAGCUUGCAGCCAAACACUUGCAACACAUUCGAGAUUAAAAUAAAGCAAGUAACAAAAUAUAAUGCAGUUACAUCAGUUUAAAUGAAGCUUAAUAACAAAUUAAAUAAAUUUAAUACAAUAACUAAACCAAACUAUGAAAUAUUAUUCAGUUUUAACACCAAAUCACUGAGUGAUGGAGGUUAUGAAAUUUUAAAUUGACUUAAAAUGGAUAUAAACAGAAUAUGUUUAUUGUACAUACCUGUGUAAUGAUACAGGACUAUCCUUAUAAGGUUUUUCUUUGCAUCCAAUUGCACAGCAAUAGUUAACCAUGGCUUAAAUAAGUUUUAAAAUCCAACAGUUAAAAGCGAGAAAAAAUCUGCUAUUGAAAUAUAAUGGGUAACGGAGAAUGUGGUUACAGUGAACACAAAUUCUGUCCACAAGUCAUGUGAUUUUACUUGUCCCACACCAAAGUAAGGUUGCACUCCCUCUAUCAGUAUCUCAGCUCUAUGAUUUUGACACUCGACCGAUUCAAAUAAAAUAAAAAUGUAAAUACUUACUGCUGUUUAUUAAUGAAUUUUUCUGACAUUGAAUGACAGAAUUUGAUGAACAUUUUUCUAUAUAAAUUUAUUUUAUAAUUGUUAAAUUCUUAAAAAUGUUUGCUGUUGUAAAUUUUUUAUAUGGACUGUAAAAGAGUAGCAAUUAAUUAGUGGCGUAAAUAAAAUAAAAAAGUUUACUGUAAAAAAUAUUUUGUGUUUUCUGGUUUUGAUUGAUUUAGAUCCAAUUUUUUUAAGGGUGUAAAUGCCUUAAAAUUGAAAUUUCCAGUACAUAAAUAAAAGUUAGUGUGGCUGUUUAAAUAUGCUACCUUCCUAGCUAAAUUUUUCUUAGUUCUUGAACUUUUCAAUUGAGAAUUUGAAUAGCAAUGUUGAAAAAUACUGAAAGUAAUAAAUAUUACAUUUAAAAAUAAUUUCUGGAGAAAGAGUUUUAUAUUAUAUGAAUGAACUUUGCUUCACUAUUCAAACAUAGGGGCAACUGAGAGAUUAUAUAGCUUAAUAAACUGACUUACGUAUUUUUCAACUGCAUUUUUUAGAAAGUUAAAAUUUAAAAUAGGACCUUUUUUAAUUAUUGUUAUUGUUUGAUUAAUUUAUUUUUAGAAAUUUUUCCUCAAUAAUCAUUUUUUUUUUAAUUUUAUUUUACACAUUUUACAAAUAUAUAUUGUUUUUCAUUUCAGUUGGUUAUUUUAAUAAUGGAUUUGAAUCUUUAAUUAUUUGAACUUUAUAGUGACACAGUGGAGUCAAAAAAGGAAGGGAGGGAAACUGAAUAAAGUCAGAAUGAAAUUAUAAAAUGAAUUGAAAAAUAUAAAACAAUAGAUAUGAAUGGUUCUUAUACACUAAUUUAUUUUAAUAAUGUUACAUAAACAAUGAAUGACAAAUUACGUGCAACGCAUUUCUUUAAUUUUCUGUUGUUUUAAAAAAUAGCAUAAAUAUAUAAGAAAUAGUUAAAAAGAUAAUUAAACUAAUAAUCAAAAAAUUAUAUAUAUAAUUUUUAUCAUGCAUUAAAUUUAACUUUUAUAUCAGUUUUUGAUGAUAUUAAUUUAUUAUUUUUUGGCUCAAAAUUAACAAAAUCUGUCUUUUUAUAUUAAGAAAUAAUUGAUAGAUCAGUAAUGUGAUAAAGAUAAAACAAGAAUGCUUCAUAAAUGACAAUUUAUGCUUUAGAAAUUUCACUUUACCCCCAUGUGUUUGUGUGAAUUCCUUUGGACAAUGUUGCAUUUAGUCAAAGGUUGUUAUCUUAACAAAUAUAUCCUAUUUUUAGAAUUUCUUAUUUGUAAAAGUGACCUCAGCUGUGAUUUCAUUCCAAGUAUUAAAGUUGUUUCAUGGAGAAAUGUAAAGAGCUUGGUAUUUUAUACUUUGUUAGCAUGUCCUUGUAUGUAAAUAAAUAAACAUUUGAAAUAUCUUAUCUUUGAA